rnacentral:rRNA from 1 species
AGUGGCGAACGGGUGAGUAACGCGUGAGAAUCUGCCUUGGGGUCGGGGACAACCACUGGAAACGGUGGCUAAUACCGGAUAAGCCGAUUGGUGAAAGAUUUAUUGCCCGAAGAGGAGCUCGCGUCUGAUUAGCUAGUUGGUGAGGUAAGAGCUCACCAAGGCAGCGAUCAGUAGCUGGUCUGAGAGGACGAUCAGCCACACUGGGACUGAGACACGGCCCAGACUCCUACGGGAGGCAGCAGUGGGGAAUUUUCCGCAAUGGGCGAAAGCCUGACGGAGCAAGACCGCGUGAGGGAGGAAGGCUCUUGGGUUGUAAACCUCUUUUCUCAGGGAAGAAGCUCUGACGGUACCUGAGGAAUCAGCCUCGGCUAACUCCGUGCCAGCAGCCGCGGUAAUACGGAGGAGGCAAGCGUUAUCCGGAAUUAUUGGGCGUAAAGCGUCCGCAGGUGGCGAUUCAAGUCUGCUGUCAAAGCACGGAGCUUAACUCCGUAAAGGCAGUGGAAACUGAAUAGCUAGAGUGCCGUAGGGGUAGAGGGAAUUCCCGGUGUAGCGGUGAAAUGCGUAGAGAUCGGGAAGAACAUCGGUGGCGAAAGCGCUCUACUGGACGGCAACUGACACUCAGGGACGAAAGCUAGGGGAGCGAAUGGGAUUAGAUACCCC